AGAGUUUGAUCCUGGCUCAGGACGAACGCUGGCGGCGUGCCUAAUACAUGCAAGUCGAGCGGACAGAUGGGAGCUUGCUCCCUGAUGUUAGCGGCGGACGGGUGAGUAACACGUGGGUAACCUGCCUGUAAGACUGGGAUAACUCCGGGAAACCGGGGCUAAUACCGGAUGGUUGUUUGAACCGCAUGGUUCAAACAUAAAAGGUGGCUUCGGCUACCACUUACAGAUGGACCCGCGGCGCAUUAGCUAGUUGGUGAGGUAACGGCUCACCAAGGCGACGAUGCGUAGCCGACCUGAGAGGGUGAUCGGCCACACUGGGACUGAGACACGGCCCAGACUCCUACGGGAGGCAGCAGUAGGGAAUCUUCCGCAAUGGACGAAAGUCUGACGGAGCAACGCCGCGUGAGUGAUGAAGGUUUUCGGAUCGUAAAGCUCUGUUGUUAGGGAAGAACAAGUGCCGUUCGAAUAGGGCGGUACCUUGACGGUACCUAACCAGAAAGCCACGGCUAACUUCGUGCCAGCAGCCGCGGUAAUACGUAGGUGGCAAGCGUUGUCCGGAAUUAUUGGGCGUAAAGGGCUCGCAGGCGGUUUCUUAAGUCUGAUGUGAAAGCCCCCGGCUCAACCGGGGAGGGUCAUUGGAAACUGGGGAACUUGAGUGCAGAAGAGGAGAGUGGAAUUCCACGUGUAGCGGUGAAAUGCGUAGAGAUGUGGAGGAACACCAGUGGCGAAGGCGACUCUCUGGUCUGUAACUGACGCUGAGGAGCGAAAGCGUGGGGAGCGAACAGGAUUAGAUACCCUGGUAGUCCACGCCGUAGACGAUGAGUGCUAAGUGUUAGGGGGUUUCCGCCCCUUAGUGCUGCAGCUAACGCAUUAAGCACUCCGCCUGGGGAGUACGGUCGCAAGACUGAAACUCAAAGGAAUUGACGGGGGCCCGCACAAGCGGUUGAGCAUGUGGUUUAAUUCGAAGCAACGCGAAGAACCUUACCAGGUCUUGACAUCCUCUGACAAUCCUAGAGAUAGGACGUCCCCUUCGGGGGCAGAGUGACAGGUGGUGCAUGGUUGUCGUCAGCUCGUGUCGUGAGAUGUUGGGUUAAGUCCCGCAACGAGCGCAACCCUUGAUCUUAGUUGCCAGCAUUCAGUUGGGCACUCUAAGGUGACUGCCGGUGACAAACCGGAGGAAGGUGGGGAUGACGUCAAAUCAUCAUGCCCCUUAUGACCUGGGCUACACACGUGCUACAAUGGACAGAACAAAGGGCAGCGAAACCGCGAGGUUAAGCCAAUCCCACAAAUCUGUUCUCAGUUCGGAUCGCAGUCUGCAACCCGACUGCGUGAAGCUGGAAUCGCUAGUAAUCGCGGAUCAGCAUGCCGCGGUGAAUACGUUCCCGGGCCUUGUACACACCGCCCGUCACACCACGAGAGUUUGUAACACCCGAAGUCGGUGAGGUAACCUUUUAGGAGCCAGCCGCCGAAGGUGGGACAGAUGAUUGGGGUGAAGUCGUAACAAGGUA
rnacentral:rRNA from 1 species